rnacentral:rRNA from 1 species
UCUGUAGGCGGUGCGGCAAGUCGGGAGUGAAAUCUCGGGGCUUAACUCCGAGUCUGCUUCCGAAACUGCCGUGCUCGAGUGCGGGAGAGGUGAGUGGAAUUGCAGGUGUAGCGGUGAAAUGCGUAGAUAUCUGCAGGAACACCAGAGGCGAAGGCGGCUCACUGGACCGCAACUGACGCUGAGAGACGAAAGCUAGGGGAGCAAACAGGAUUAGAUACCCUGGUAGUCCUAGCCCUAAACCAUCAGGACUUGGCGUGGGUCCCGUUCGGGGUCCGUGUCGGAGCUAACGUGUGAAGUCCUGCGCCUGGGGAGUACGGUCGCAAGGCUGAA